rnacentral:rRNA from 1 species
GCAGUAACACAUAAGUUCCCGCUGGGGAUACGAGCGCAAGCUUAAACUCAAAGGAAUUGACGGGCCCCGCACAAGCACGGAGCGUGUGGUUUAAUUCGACGUAACACGAAGACCUUACCGGGGUUUGACAUGUACAUGAAAUCCUGUGAAAGCAGGACCCCCCGCAAGGGGCGUGUACACAGGUGUUGCAUGGCUGUCGUCAGCUCGUGCCGUGAGGUGUUGGGUUAAGUCCCGCAACGAGCGCAACCCUUAUCGCCAGUUGCUUUCUCUGGCGAGACUGCCGAGAAUAACUCGGAGGAAGGCGGGGAUGACGUCAAGUCAGCAUGGCCCUUACAUCCCGGGCUACACACACGCUACAAUGGGCGGUACAGAGGGUUGCUAAACCGCGAGGUGGAGCCAAUCCCACAAAACCGUCCUCAGUUCAGAUUGCAGUCUGCAACUCGACUGCAUGAAGGCGGAGUUGCUAGUAACCGCAGGUCAGCAUACUGCGGUGAAUACGUUCCCGGGGCUUGUACACACCGCCCGUCACGUCAUGAAAGCUGGUAACACCUGAAGCCGCUGGGCUAACCCGCAAGGGGGGCAGGCGUCGAGGGUGGGACUGGUGAUUGGGACGAAGUCGUAACAAGGUAACCGUA